rnacentral:rRNA from 1 species
UACAGAGGGUGCGAGCGUUAAUCGGAAUACUGGGCGUAAAGCGUGCGCAGACGGUUGCGUAAGUCAGAUGUGAAAGCCCCGGGCUCAACCUGGGAAUUGCAUUUGAGACUGCGUAGCUAGGGUGCGGAAGAGGGAAGCGGAAUUUCCGGUGUAGCGGUGAAAUGCGUAGAUAUCGGAAGGAACACCAGUGGCGAAAGCGGCUUCCUGGUCCAGCACCGACGUUCAGGCACGAAAGCGUGGGGAGCAAA